UACUAAGUUAACCUAGGCUGGUGUGUC
rnacentral:piRNA from 1 species